rnacentral:lncRNA from 1 species
GUCAGCUUCCAGAACUACCUACAGGUAUUCUCCCCCACUGACACUGAUACUGAAUUCAGAAAUAAACUAACAGCCUUUUCAGAGGUACCUGCUUAUCUUUGAGAACCAAAAGCAGCAAAAGUCAAUGUGGGUUUCCGAAUAAAACAGCUCCCUUUGUUUACUACUGUGGAACAGAAGCAGCAUUUGUGAUUUCUGAAGUAAUCUUUCUUUUUGAGGAGAGAAUACACUGAGCAGUGAAUCCGUAU